GAUGAACGCUGGCGGCGUGCCUAAUACAUGCAAGUCGAGCGAAUGGAUUAAGAGCUUGCUCUUAUGAAGUUAGCGGCGGACGGGUGAGUAACACGUGGGUAACCUGCCCAUAAGACUGGGAUAACUCCGGGAAACCGGGGCUAAUACCGGAUAACAUUUUGAACCGCAUGGUUCGAAAUUGAAAGGCGGCUUCGGCUGUCACUUAUGGAUGGACCCGCGUCGCAUUAGCUAGUUGGUGAGGUAACGGCUCACCAAGGCAACGAUGCGUAGCCGACCUGAGAGGGUGAUCGGCCACACUGGGACUGAGACACGGCCCAGAUUCCUACGGGAGGCAGCAGUAGGGAAUCUUCCGCAAUGGACGAAAGUCUGACGGAGCAACGCCGCGUGAGUGACGAAGGCUUUCGGGUCGUAAAACUCUGUUGUUAGGGAAGAACAAGUGCUAGUUGAAUAAGCUGGCACCUUGACGGUACCUAACCAGAAAGCCACGGCUAACUACGUGCCAGCAGCCGCAGUAA
rnacentral:rRNA from 1 species